GUGUCAGCAGCCGCGGUAAUACGGAGGGUGCAAGCGUUACUCGGAAUCACUGGGCGUAAAGGGUGCGUAGGCUGGCUUUUAAGUCAGAUGUGAAAUCCAAUGGCUUAACCAUUGAACUGCAUUUGAAACUGGGAGCCUAGAGUUCAGAAGGGGCAGAUGGAAUUAGUGGUGUAGGGGUAAAAUCCGUAGAUAUCACUAGGAAUAUCAAAAGCGAAGGCGAUCUGCUGGGAUGAUACUGACGCUGAGGCACGAAAGCGUGGGGAGCAAACAGGAUUAGAAACCCGUGUAGUCC
rnacentral:rRNA from 1 species